rnacentral:rRNA from 1 species
AGUGAACGCUGGCGGCGUGCUUAACACAUGCAAGUCGAACGAGAACGGGUUAUAGCUUGCUAUAAUUGUCAGCUAAGUGGCGCACGGGUGAGUAAUGUAUAGGUAAUAUGCCUCUUACUAAGGGAUAACAAUUGGAAACGAUUGCUAAUACCUUAUACUCCUUAUUAACUAAAGUUAGUAAGGGAAAGAUUUAUUGGUAAGAGAUUAGCCUGUAUUGUAUCAGUUAGUUGGUGGGGUAAUGGCCUACCAAGACUAUGACGCAUAACUGGUUUGAGAGGAUGAUCAGUCACACUGGAACUGAGACACGGUCCAGACUCCUACGGGAGGCAGCAGUGGGGAAUAUUGCACAAUGGACGAAAGUCUGAUGCAGCAACGCCGCGUGGAGGAUGACACAUUUCGGUGCGUAAACUCCUUUUAUAUAAGAAGAUAAUGACGGUAUUAUACGAAUAAGCACCGGCUAACUCCGUGCCAGCAGCCGCAGUAACAC